GUCAGCACCCCGUACUGAAGCGACGGGGCACCAGGCGCGAAGCGCAGGCUUCGCGCCUGGUGCCUCACCUUCAGUGAUAGUUGACCAGCCUAAGUCUUAAUUGACUACGUUUUUUGAGUCAUGACACCCUGUGGAUGCGUAGCUAGUCCCUGGCUCUGUC
rnacentral:sRNA from 1 species